UUANGGUGAACCCCGAAAGGCUCAUUAAUCAGUUAUGGUUCCUUAGAUCGUACCCACAUUUACUUGGAUAACUGUGGUAAUUCUAGAGCUAAUACAUGCAAACAGAGCUCCGACCGGAGACGGAAGGAGCGCUUUUAUUAGAUCAAAACCAAUCGGCGGCGGGUUCGCUCGUCGUCGUACAUUUUGGUGACUCUGAAUAACUUUUUGCUGAUCGCACGGUCUUGCACCGGCGACGCAUCUUUCAAAUGUCUGCCUUAUCAACUGUCGAUGGUAGGUUCUGCGCCUACCAUGGUUGUAACGGGUAACGGGGAAUCAGGGUUCGAUUCCGGAGAGGGAGCCUGAGAAACGGCUACCACAUCCAAGGAAGGCAGCAGGCGCGCAAAUUACCCACUCCCGGCACGGGGAGGUAGUGACGAAAAAUAACGAUACGGGACUCAUCCGAGGCCCCGUAAUCGGAAUGAGUACACUCUAAACCCUUUAACGAAGAA
rnacentral:rRNA from 1 species